rnacentral:lncRNA from 1 species
AGCCACAGCAGUGGUGCAUGUAACAGGCUCCUUAAACUCUCUGUGCUGAGAUCAACCAGUCACAGAGCAAAUUCAAGAGAAAAGAAACAUUUGCUGUUUCUCUACUCAUCUGCUGAUAUAAAGGCUGCAGAAUCUGGCUUUAACAUUGCAGCAAAGCCAAGGAGAGACUCACCUCUACAAAAUCAGAAGGUCCAGCUGAUUUCACCAGGCUCCAUAUGGGCAGCCACUGAGCCACAUACCUUCAGUCCUGGAAGGAUUCUCUCCCAGACAUGCAGAAAAAGGUGGAAAUCUGAAGUGAGAGCUGCUCAGCCAUAGGCAAGCUCUGGAACGAGUGCAAAUCUUCAUAUCACCACAACCUUACUCCUGGGCUGGCAGGGGAGAAAUAUUUUCAAUUCUUGCUUGUUAUUCCUAUUUGUUUCAGAAAUUUUGCACUAACGUAUUUACCUGUCUGCUCAUUUCAAAGGUCCCUGCUAUAUGAGAAAAUGAUCAAAUAAUGGUCCUAGAAGAUACAUGGUGCCCCUUUACUUUAGUUUAACUGCGUUUUAAAAUUAGAUAUCUUGGCAUAGCUUGGCCUUUGUUUCCAGCGUGUCUAUCUAAUGCAUUAAUAACUGCCUAUGGUGAAGCAGCAGCCUCACUAAUGAUGGAACACAUGUAAUAUCAAUUUAACACCAAUAUAAAUUUUUAUAUAUUUCAACAAUUUUUAGGGCUGCUUGUUGCUAUAUAAUCUAUUGGAGCUUACUGUUACAGCAAAUCAUCUGAAUUUGUCUUGUACUGGGGGUGAUAGGUAUCAACCAGAUGCUCAUUCCCACACCAGACAGUUACUGAAGAAUCUGCACAAAAGUUACAACUUCUCAAAGAGCCAACUUUACUAUUAAAACUAUGGCAAAGUUUCACUGACCGGACUCACUAUGGGGUGUGAGACCCUGCAAAAGCCACUGUGAUGAUAAAAUAUAAAUAUAUAUGUAUACACAUAUAUAAAGCUUUCAAAAAUCCCAACUAAUAUUGUUUAAUGUGGCUAUCCCAAUUCUCUCACACAAAUGCUAUCAUUCCAUUUCUCAUUAUUUAUAUUCAGUGUGGUUCUUAAGAGAGCAGUGAGCAACAUGCCAUUUUGGAACUGCUGUUACCAAGGGCAUACACAGUUUAAUUAUUAAAACAAAGCUGUUACGUAGCAUGCUCUAAGUGCCACUGCUGCCACUUAGAAACUGAUGUGAUUUGCAUUUCUUUUAAUAAAUUAGGUAUUUAAUUACA